AUCGGCAGAAGUAUACUGGAGGAUGACGUGGUCGAAUUUUGGAUUAAUUGGAGGAUGUUUGGCACAUGAAAUGAGGAGUUAAACAUGGAUUGGGGACUUAAAAAGGAGGUUUAGGACUGAUUUGCGAGGAACGAGGGACCUAUUUGUAAAUACUUUUGGGAGUGGAGGGGCAGAUCUACGAAACAACCUUUGAGAGAGGUGGAAGGGUUAUUUCAUGAAAUAAGGAAAACUGGGGUUUAGAUCGGAAAUUUGGGGAAUCUUAUCUCUUCCUCUUCCAAGAACAUGGAGAGAGAGACAGAGAGUGGGGGAGAUGGCCGACGGUGGCCGGCCGGCUGGGCUCACCGGCGGCGAGCCGUGGGCGGAGGGGGUGGAGGAAGUGGAGGGGGCUCCAUUUUGCCCAUUACCGUGAGGAUUUGGAGGUGGAGAAGGGGCGGCUGGUAGGAGCUUGGGGUGGGCGCACGGGCGGCGGCGCAUGGGUGGCGACGGAGGCGGCUUGGCAUGAGGGAGGUGAGGGCUUAGGCAGCGCUGGUGGUGGAGGAUGGGGCGAGGUGGGGCGUCACCUCUGCCCUUUUAUAGGCCGACGGGAGUGGGCAGCGGCGUGCGGCAUGGGAGGGGGCCG
rnacentral:lncRNA from 1 species